rnacentral:rRNA from 1 species
UACGUAGGGGGCAAGCGUUGUCCGGAUUUAUUGGGCGUAAAGAGCGUGUAGGCGGCCAUUCAGGUCAGCUGUGAAAACUCGAGGCUCAACCUCGAGACGUCGGUUGAAACCGUUUGGCUAGAGUCCGGAAGAGGAGAGUGGAAUUCCCGGUGUAGCGGUGAAAUGCAUUGAGAUCGGAAAGAACACCAACGGCGAAAGCACUCUGCUGGGCCGACACUGACACUGAGAGACGAAAGCUAGGGGAGCAAAUGGG